rnacentral:rRNA from 1 species
UUAAGUUAACAAGGGCGCAUGGUGAAUGCCUUGGCACUAGGAGCCGAUGAAGGACGGGACUAACACCGAUAUGCUUCGGGGAGCUGUACGUAAGCUAUGAUCCGGAGAUUUCCGAAUGGGGCAACCCAGCAGUUUUAAUCAACUGUUACCACUAGAUGAAUUCAUAGUCUAGUUGGAGGUAAACGCUGUGAACUGAAACAUCUCAUUAGCAGCAGGAAUAUAAAGAAAUUUCGAUUCCCUAAGUAGCGGCGAGCGAACGGGGAACAGCCCAAACCAAAGUGCUUGCACUUUGGGGUUGUAGGACUGAACAUUUGAGUUACCAAAGAACUUGAUAGUCGAAGGAUUUGGGAAAAUCCGCCAUAGAUGGUGAUAGCCCAGUAGAUUAAAUCAAAUUCUCUCAGUUCAGGAUCCUGAGUACGGCGGAACACGUGAAAUUCCGUCGGAAUCCGGGAGGACCAUCUCCCAAGGCUAAAUACUACCUAGUGACCGAUAGUGAACCAGUACCGUGAGGGAAAGGUGAAAAGCACCCGGGAGGGGAGUGAAAUAGUUCCUGAAACCAUGUGCCUACAAUAAGUCAGAGCGCGUUAAUGCGUGAUGGCGUGCCUUUUGUAGAAUGAACCGGCGAGUUAUGAUCCCGUGCAAGGUUAAGACUAAAAAGUCGGAGCCGUAGCGAAAGCGAGUCUGAAAUGGGCGAUUUGAGUACGAGGUUAUAGACCCGAAACCAGGUGACCUAUCCAUGUCCAGGUUGAAGGUGCGGUAAAACGCACUGGAGGACCGAACCCGUGUAAGUUGAAAAUUGCUGGGAUGAGGUGUGGAUAGCGGUGAAAUUCCAAACGAACUUGGAGAUAGCUGGUUCUCUCCGAAAUAGCUUUAGGGCUAGCCUCGGAUUAAGGAUCAUGGAGGUAGAGCACUAUUUGGACUAGGGGCCCGUCUUGGGUUACUGAAUUCAGAUAAACUCCGAAUGCCAUUGAUUCAUGUCCGGGAGUCAGACGAUGAGUGAUAAGAUCCACCGUCGAAAGGGGAACAGCCCAGACCAUCAGUUAAGGUCCCUAAAUGUAUGCUAAGUGGAAAAGGAUGUGGAGUUGCAUAGACAACUAGGAUGUUGGCUCAGAAGCAGCCACCAUUUAAAGAGUGCGUAAUAGCUCACUAGUCGAGUGAUCCUGCGCCGAAAAUGUACCGGGGCUAAGCAUACUACCGAAACCAUGGAUGCGACCAUUAGGUCGCGUGAUAGGAGAGCGUUCUAAGGGCGGUGAAGCAAGAUCGUGAGGACUUGUGGAGCGCUUAGAAGUGAGAAUGCCGGUAUGAGUAGCGAAAGAUAGGUGAGAAUCCUAUCCACCGAAUGACUAAGGUUUCCUGGGGAAGGCUCGUCCUCCCAGGGUUAGUCGGGACCUAAGUCGAGGCCGAGAGGCGUAGACGAUGGAUAACAGGUUGAGAUUCCUGUACUAGUUAAGUGCGUUUGAGCAAUGGAGGGACGCAGGAGGCUAAGAUGUGCAUUCUGUUGGAUUAGAAUGUCCAAGCAGUAAGUCUUGUGGAGAGUCAAAUGCUUUUCACUUUAAGGACAAGCUGUGAUGGGGAGCGAAAUUUAGUAGCGAAGCGUCUGAUGUCACACUGCCGAGAAAAGCUUCUAGUGAGUACUUAACUACCCGUACCGCAAACCGACACAGGUAGUCGAGGAGAGAAUCCUAAGGUGAGCGAGUGAACUCUCGUUAAGGAACUCGGCAAAAUGACCCCGUAACUUCGGGAGAAGGGGUGCUGAUCGCAAGAUCAGCCGCAGUGAAUAGGCCCAGGCGACUGUUUAUCAAAAACACAGGUCUCUGCAAAAUCGUAAGAUGACGUAUAGGGGCUGACGCCUGCCCGGUGCUGGAAGGUUAAAAGGAUGGGUUAGCUUCGGCGAAGCUCAGAAUUGAAGCCCCAGUAAACGGCGGCCGUAACUAUAACGGUCCUAAGGUAGCGAAAUUCCUUGUCGGGUAAGUUCCGACCCGCACGAAAGGCGUAACGAUCUGGGCACUGUCUCAACGAGAGACUCGGUGAAAUUAUAUUGUCCGUGAAGAUGCGGACUACCCGCGACAGGACGGAAAGACCCCAUGGAGCUUUACUGUAGCUUGAUAUUGAGUGUUUGUACAGCUUGUACAGGAUAGGUAGGAGCCAUAGAAACCGGAACGCUAGUUUCGGUGGAGGCGUUGGUGGGAUACUACCCUCGCUGUAUGACCACUCUAACCCGCACCACUAAUCGUGGUGGGAGACAGUGUCAGGUGGGCAGUUUGACUGGGGCGGUCGCCUCCUAAAAAGUAACGGAGGCGCCCAAAGGUUCCCUCAGAAUGGUUGGAAAUCAUUCGCAGAGUGUAAAGGCACAAGGGAGCUUGACUGCGAGACAGACAGGUCGAGCAGGGACGAAAGUCGGGCUUAGUGAUCCGGUGGUACCGUAUGGAAGGGCCAUCGCUCAACGGAUAAAAGCUACCCUGGGGAUAACAGGCUUAUCUCCCCCAAGAGUCCACAUCGACGGGGAGGUUUGGCACCUCGAUGUCGGCUCAUCGCAUCCUGGGGCUGUAGUCGGUCCCAAGGGUUGGGCUGUUCGCCCAUUAAAGCGGUACGCGAGCUGGGUUCAGAACGUCGUGAGACAGUUCGGUCCCUAUCCGUCGCGGGCGUAGGAAAUUUGAGAGGACCUGUCCUUAGUACGAGAGGACCGGGAUGGACAUACCUCUGGUGUACCAGUUGUGCCGCCAGGCGCAUUGCUGGGUAGCUACGUAUGGAUGUGAUAAACGCUGAAAGCAUCUAAGUGUGAAACACACCUCGAGAUGAGAUUUCCCAUUCCUUUAUGGAAGUAAGACCCCUGAAAGAUGAUCAGGUAGAUAGGUUAGAAGUGGCAGUGCGGUGACGCAUGAAGCGGACUAAUACUAAUCGGUCGAGGACUUAACCAA